rnacentral:rRNA from 1 species
UACGGAGGAUCCGAGCGUUAUCCGGAAUCAUUGGGUUUAAAGGGUCCGUAGGCGGAUAGUUAAGUCAGCGGUGAAAGUCUGCAGCUCAACUGUAGAAUUGCCGUUGAUACUGGUUAUCUUGAAUCAAAUUGAAGUGGCUGGAAUAUGUGGUGUAGCGGUGAAAUGCUUAGAGAUUACACAGAACACCGAUUGCGAAGGCAGCUCACAAAUCUACUUCUGACGUUGAGGCACGAAAGCGUGGGUAGCAAACAGGAUUA